rnacentral:lncRNA from 1 species
AUGAUGGGGAGGGGAGACGCUGAGGAGAGCAGUCAGGGCGGGACACUGCCUCCGGCUCCGAUGCUGUUGCUUCUUGCCCGCCUCUCUGCCUCUAGUAGUUUUCUUUCUCUCCCCCUCUUCUCGCUCUGUCUCUCUGUGCCCCACUCUCUCAUUCUCCACUUUGGUCUCUUGGUUCCAGAAAAGCCCCUCCCCCGGGAGGGCCCAGGAAUUAUGGCGAGGCUCCUGGGGUGUGCCGUGGCCGUGGCCCUCAUCCUCAGUGUGGCUUCCACUGUCUUUCUGUAUCACUGGCAGCAGAAGAACCGGCUGGAGAUGGAUGGGGGCGGGACUGCCCUGCCUCUCUCCCAGGAGCCAGAACCUUCUCCCAGCAGGCAGAGCCACCUUGCACUUAAGAACAUCCAGAUUCUUGGCCUAGAGCUGGAGAAGCAGCAGCUACAGCAGGAAGAGGAUGAACUGCAGAAGCUGCCCCCACAGCCCCCCUACUACGAUCUGGGGGCCUCCCCCUCCUACCACCCCUUGGCCUUUGUCUCCACAGCCUCACCACGCUCCCUCUCGGCUGGAAGGGCCAAAGAGAAUGCAUCUCAAGAUGCCAAACCUUGCCCCUGGGAGGCAGCGUUCCUAUCCCGGGUGCUCAGCCCAGAGGACCAACCCGGCCCCCACCUUCCAAUUCCAUGCAGGGGCCUUCCCUCCCCAGGCUCUGCUCAUGGUGGAUUGACAGAAGGCUCAAAUGAGUUGGAGGCUUCAGGACUCAAGACCACUUGGGAGGAAGAGCAGACUGUCCCCUGCCUUCGGUCCUGAGGCGUCUGAGCCCUUGAUAAUCACACCCUUGGCAAGCCAGGGCUGCUGCAUGUGUUCACUCAUAUCUAAGGCAGAGGAGACCCAGGCAGUCACCCAUGUCCUCCACAGAGUCCUCCGUGCCACAUGGGUGACAGCAGCCUGAUCUCCUCCCGCUGGUCGGGGCCAGUUACGCCUUCCAAGAUGCCACUCCUUGCCUGCUGGCCCAGAACAUGAGGAGUCCAAGUGUGCCCUGCAGAGCGCAGAGUGGCGGGGAUGGCAAGCACAGAAUCCCCCCAUGGGGUCAUUGGGCCACUCCUGUUUUUCAUCCCUUGUCAUCUUCCUGUUGGGGACACAGCGCCACACAGAGGCCUUCAAGAGUAUUGCCACGGAGCUGGCAUGGAGGGCAUCGGAGCUGCAGUCCGGCUGCUGCUUGAUGAGCCUGGGAGGGGCCAGCAGUCCUCCUCUAGCAUCCAGUGGGGCCAGGUUGAAGAAUUAAAUGGUGAAAAGAUAGGGAACCUCCACCGCGUGACCUUCAGGGCUUUGUGAUGACUCUGACCUCAGGUGCAGUAUCAGUUUUGAUUUACUGUUUUAGCAGGUGCCGGCAGUCUCGGAGGACUCCACUCAGCUGUGUCCCUCAGACCAGGGGUUCACUGUGGCGUCAGCAUGUCCAUCCCAGUCCCACACUGGGAAAUUCCAUGUCCCCCAGCAGUGAAUUUGCCCUGUUCUCUGGGGUCCUUGCCAGGCUGUUGAAUCCCACAUCCUGAGAAAGUGCCCCCAGGUCAGUGUGGUCUUGCUUAUUCCCCCAAAUCCCACCCACAAAUGCCCGCCCAGCUUCUGCUAGAAUUCCUAGAGAAUUCCUGCCACUCCUUGCUCCUUGGACGUACUCUCUCCUCCCUCAGCAGGUCCAGCUGGCCCCAGCUGGGUCAUGCUGGGCUUUAAACUUAGCUAUCAGCCUGGUAGCCAGGAAGGCGGGUGGGGGCAGCUCUCGAAGAGUGUGCCUCUCGCCUUGUAGGGUGAGCCUGGGAUGAUGGUAGCUCUUGCUGGCUUAGGCCAGGCACCUCCGUGUGCUCUGAGGGACAUAUCCUCAAGAGCCUUUUUCGUUUGUUUGUUUUGUGUUGGGUUUUUUUUUUUUUAAAUAAGUUUAUUUAUAUAUUUCUUUGGCUGUGCUAGGUCUUCGCCGCUGCACGUGGGCUCUUCUCUAGUGGCGAGGUGGAGGCUUUCAGGGGCUUCUCUUGUUGCAGAGUAACAGGCUCUACAGGCGUGGGCUCAGUAGCUGCAGUUCCCAGGCUCCCUAGUCGCAGCACACAGCCUCAGUUGCUUCACAGCACGUGGGAUCCUCCCAGAUCACACGUGUCUCCUGCUCUGGUGGGCGGAUUCUUUACCACUGAGCCACCAGGGAAGUCCAGAGACCUUGUUUGGCCAAAAAUUUUACUUUCGUUUUAGGUUCGAAGGAUUCAUUAACAACAGAAACCUCUCAUUACACACACAAUAAACAAUUUCAAUUUUAAAUAGAGGAUUUUUAAACUUCAUUUCAAUAUACAUCAUUAAAAGCAAAGAAAUAGAAACAACAGAGAGAAGGAACGGCACAUACUUCACCAAAUUGGGCUGACAACCCACAUCCAGACUUGAACAGCGCUGGGAAGUCCCAUGUAACAGCAAUCUGGAGUCCCGACUGGCAAAAGGCCCCAGGCAGCGUGUUCACCCCAUGGGUGAGACUUCAAAUUGCAGCUUUGGGGGCCACCACUUAUAAUCUCAGGCCACAAACGGACAUCAGCAUCAGUUUGCACACAAAAAUGCAGUUCUGGUUUUCCAUUAACUUUUAGAAUGCUAUUGGUUUUCACCUUGUGAGUCACAGGAUUUUCCAGACCCCAGGGGGCUGGCCAGGCCUACAGGGGCUCAGCAAAUUCCAAGACCCUCUCC